rnacentral:rRNA from 1 species
UGGGGAAUUUUGGACAAUGGGCGAAAGCCUGAUCCAGCAAUGCCGCGUGUGUGAAGAAGGCCUUCGGGUUGUAAAGCACUUUUGUCCGGAAAGAAAUCCUUGGCUCUAAUACAGUCGGGGGAUGACGGUACCGGAAGAAUAAGCACCGGCUAACUACGUGCCAGCAGCCGCGGUAAUACGUAGGGUGCAAGCGUUAAUCGGAAUUACUGGGCGUAAAGCGUGCGCAGGCGGUUUGCUAAGACCGAUGUGAAAAUCCCCGGGCUCAACCUGGGAACUGCAUUGGUGACUGGCAGGCUAGAGUAUGGCAGAGGGGGGUAGAAUUCCACGUGUAGCAGUGAAAUGCGUAGAGAUGUGGAGGAAUACCGAUGGCGAAGGCAGCCCCCUGGGCCAAAUACUGACGCUCAUGCACGAAAAGCGUGGGGAGC